ACUACUGAGAGGAAGCCUCAAGCUGAGUUGCCUAGAACAUGCUCCGGCUACUAUUCAAGCUUCCUGGAAAGGCAGAAACCAGCUGAGUGGCCUGGAAGAGACACUCUCCAGCUUGUCCAGUCACCUGCAAGUUGCUGGCCUCAAACUCAAUAGGGAAUCACAAAGCUAAUGUUGAGCCACAUAUCUUCCUGUCUUCAUCUCCAAAGUGCUGAUAUGAGGCACUGCACAUGUGAUGCACAGACAUGUGAUUUCCAUCUGGAGGCCAGCUUCCUUCAUCUCUGCAUGUGGCCUGUGUGAGGCCAGGGUAAGGGCGCCUGCUUGAAUUUCACCAUCUGUAAAAAAAACUGUUCUUUUGCAAUGCCUAAUGCUAGAGCAGUGGGAGAAAGACACUAACUAGUUCUGUACUGGAAGUGCUUGCAUUCAAAGAUGAGUAGGCAGAAAGAAGUGAAGCAAGAGGAACCCCCCUCCCCGCAAUAAUAAAUAAAAAAAGGGAAGGAAACCCAGGAGAUAUCUGAGAUACCUGAACCAAACCAUGAAGAAGAGCCAAAGCCUGAGUAAACAGAGGAGAAACAAAUCAAAGGAAACUUGUAAGGAAAGACUAAUUGAAGAUCUUCAAGGGCUUAGAGAGGACACACAGCAUGCAUGAAGCAGUGCGGCUCUGCUGAGAGAAGCAGAUGAGACAUGACGCAAGGAGCACGAGACAGUGACUUCUGGGAAGGCUAACUGGGACCAUUCUUACCCCGACAUAAUGGAGUUUGCCAUGAUUUCUGUUUUAUCUGAUGUUACCAUGGCAACAUUGCUGGUUUUAUUAGCAUUUUCUUCACAUACUUUAACCUGUCUGCCUACUUUGAAUCUGUUACUGUUAAUGGAUUUACACAUAUCUCUUCUUCUUCUUCUUCUUUUUUUGAGACAGGGUUUCUUGGGGCUUUGGAGGCUGUCCUGGAACUAGUUCUUGUAGACCAGGCUGGUCUCAAACUCACAGAGAUCCUCCUGCAUCUGCCUCCCAGGUCAAGACCUGGUCAAAUCCAAGUUUUACAGAAAACAGGAAUGAACUUAUUUUGACCUUGUAACAAGACCUCUUUUAACUUAAGAUGGAGUCAGGCAGGUCCAUCAUAGGUAAAACACACACACACACACACACACAAAUAAAUAAUAUGAAAAUAAAAUUCAUAAUACACUUUUUUUUUGUU